GGGAGACCAACCUUGUGCCUCCGGGAGAUCCACUCUCCCACCUGGAAACGCACGGGAAGCCAAGCCUCCAAAAAAGCGCUGCCUCCUCGCUCCGCGUUGGGAUUAUCCGGAAGGAACUCCCAACGGAGGUAGUACCACUCUACCCUCCGCACCUCCUCCUGCAUCAGCCGGCCUGAAGUCGCACCCUCCUCCUCCGGAGAAGUAGAGAAAUAAAUUUCUCCCACCCUAAACCAGUCUUAUGAUGUAAUCAGCGCGAUUUCACUUCCUGAAUUUCGAUGAAUUCUAAGACAUGGGCAAGAUCGGGUUGUAAGACCUCUGAGAUUUAAGGCCAUGCCCUGGAUCAUGGUGAACUUACCAAAGCAAACAAUGCCUGUGAGAUGGUCCUGCAGCAGCCAACCAGUGAACUCUUUUGGUGACAUCCUGUUCUUGUUGUAUAACUUUAUAUUCCUAUAAAUCCAUUAAGGCCCCAAUAAAGUUUGUCUCUAAGCGCUGUGUUAGAUCUAUAUGACUACAUCUAGUAAAUUGUGAAUUUUAAGUAAAU
rnacentral:lncRNA from 1 species